rnacentral:rRNA from 1 species
AUUGAACGCUGGCGGCAUGCCUUACACAUGCAAGUCGAACGGUAACAGGUCUUCGGACGCUGACGAGUGGCGAACGGGUGAGUAAUACAUCGGAACGUGCCCAGUCGUGGGGGAUAACUACUCGAAAGAGUAGCUAAUACCGCAUACGAUCUGAGGAUGAAAGCGGGGGACCUUCGGGCCUCGCGCGAUUGGAGCGGCCGAUGGCAGAUUAGGUAGUUGGUGGGAUAAAAGCUUACCAAGCCGACGAUCUGUAGCUGGUCUGAGAGGACGACCAGCCACACUUGGAAUGGGACAAGGCCCCGGCUUCUACCGGAGGGAGCAAGGGGGAAAUUUGGACAAUGGGCGAAAGCCUUAACCCACAAUGCCGCGGUGAAGAUGGAGGCCCUCGGGGUUGAAACCGCCUUUGGUCCGAACGAAAAAGUCUCCCCCAAUACCAGAGGGCCCUUACCGUAACCGAAGAAUUAGCACCGGCUAACUACGUGCCAGCCGCCGCAGUAA